UGGAACUCAGAACCCUAUUACUGUUGUCCGGAAAGGAGAAUCUUCAUGAGUUGUUUACCUUUGCCAAGUAUUUCACUUACUAAACAACCCUUGGAGUUAUAAAAUGAGAUUUUGUCAGAAGGAACUUUUAGAAUGAAAAGAAAAAAAAAAGCACUUUGAACAAAUGAGUUGUAUAAAUAGUCCAGAAAAUAUGUCAAAAAACACAUGUGCUAAUGUAAUCUACAAGUAUUGCUUAUGUCAUCUCUGUAAAGCACACUGUUAACAAUAGUGUUUGUUUUUAUUUUAAGUAUCAGAUGUCUAAAGAGUAGAUGGACAGUUUGUGUCAGGUUUUUGGCUGCUUUUCCUCAUUUAGUGUACA